UCAUUUCUGGUAAGCAAAGCAAAUGCAGUCUUGCCUGUGAAAAGGUUACGAGGACUCAAAACUGUGAACAUGACCCGACCUGCACAGUUUGUUUUUUAUCUGAUGUGUUUGUUGUCAGGAAAAAUGGCUCAGAUGACCAAUCUGUCCUCAUCUGUUGGUCAACAGACGGGUUAUAUAUCAGCUCAUGCUGGUGAAAGUGUAUCUUUGCAAUGUUUAUAUGACAACGAUGUGGUGGCAAGGUUUUACUGGUACAAACACACUCUGGGUCAGAUGCCGAGGCUCAUCUCGACCUUUUACAAGUACAAAACAAGCGGAACCUUUCACGACGAUUUCAAGAACGACCCACGCUUCGCACUGGAUACUGAAAUCGGCAGAACUCAUUUGAAGAUAAGAGAUCUGCGUAGUUCCGACUCAGCUACUUACUACUGUGCUAAUAGCUUUUCAAUGAUGUUUCAAUUUAUGGAGAGCAUCACUGUCAGUGUGAAAGGUUCAGGGUUGAACAUCCAGGCUCUGGUGCAUCAGUCUGAGAGCAUCCAGCCAGGAGGCUCUGUGACUCUCAGCUGCUGGUAA